rnacentral:rRNA from 1 species
GAUGAACGCUAGCGGGAGGCCUAACACAUGCAAGCCGAGCGGUAUUAUUUCUUCGGAAACGAGAGAGCGGCGUACGGGUGCGGAACACGUUUGCAACCUGCCUUUAUCUAGGGGAUAGCCUUUCGAAAGGAAGAUUAAUACCCUAUAAUAUAUUUUUUGGCAUCGAAAGAUAUUGAAAAAUCCGGUGGAUAGAGAAGGGCACGAGCAAGAUUAGCUAGUUGGUGGGGUAACGGCUCACCAAGGCAAUGAUCUUUGGGGGGCCUGAGAGGGUGAUCCCCCACACUGGUACUGAGACACGGACCAGACUCCUACGGGAGGCAGCAGUGAGGAAUAUUGGUCAAUGGGUGCAAGCCUGAACCAGCCAUCCCGCGUGAAGGACGACUGCCCUAUGGGUUGUAAACUUCUUUUGUAUAGGGAUAAACCUACCCUCGUGAGGGUAGCUGAAGGUACUAUACGAAUAAGCACCGGCUAACUCCGUGCCAGCCGCCGCCGUAA